AGUCUAAUAUUUCAAAUAGAUAUUGGAGACGCCAUACAUCUGGUAUCUAUUACAUAUUGGAAUUUUCAUUCAUCAUAUGACCAUCAUAAUGUACCUUCAAAUUAAUGCUUAGGUUGGCCAAGCCACACUUGGGCCUGGACAUCCAUUUGUUGGAUGCACUUGAUGUUGUCAUGUUAAUGGUUGGACCUAACCAAGAUUUUC
rnacentral:lncRNA from 1 species